UUUUGGAGAUUUCUCGAUGGAGUAAUUUGUAUUUUGGAUUAUGAUUAAAUUAGAUUUUGACUGAUAUUAAGUGGAGUAUUGAAGUACAUUGCGUAUCAGUAUAUAUGUGAUUUUGGAAGUUUAACUUGAUACUGAGUACUGUGGAUAAUAUUUCUAGUUUGAAGUUGAUUAUUUUGAUACCAAGAUAGUGUUCAUUCAUAAGUUGUUUAAGGCUUGGACAAGGAAAGAUAUUUUUAUUCUUUGAAGAUGAAAUCUGUAUGACAAUUAUGCAUGAAACUGUUAUAUAAGAAGAAAAUAUAUUUGAGGAUGAUAUUUAAGAGUUUC
rnacentral:lncRNA from 1 species